GACAGAGGGUGCAAACGUUGCUCGGAAUUACUGGGCGUAAAGGGCGUGUAGGCGGGAAGGCAAGUCGGGCGUGAAAGCCCCAGGCUCAACCUGGGAACUGCACUCGAAACUGCCUUUCUUGAGUGCCGGAGAGGAAAGCGGAAUUCCUGGUGUAGAGGUGGAAUGCGCAGAUAUCAGGAGGAACACCGAUGGCGAAGGCAGGUCUCUGGGCCACUACUGACGCUGAGAAGCGAAAGCAUGGGGAGCGAACAGG
rnacentral:rRNA from 1 species